CGAAGGGGGCGAGCGUUGUUCGGAUUUACUGGGCGUAAAGGGCGCGCAGGCGGCAGACCAAGUCAGGCGUGAAAGCCCCGGGCUUAACCUGGGAACUGCGUCUGGGACUGGUUUGCUAGAGAUCGGGAGAGGAGAGUGGAAUUCCCAGUGUAGAGGUGAAAUUCGUAGAUAUUGGGAAGAACACCGGUGGCGAAGGCGGCUCUCUGGACCGAUACUGACGCUGAGGCGCGAAAGCGUGGGGAGCAAACAGGAUUAGAUACCCUGGUAGUCCACGCUGUAAACGAUGUGUGCUAGACGUUGGGGAGCCUAGCUCUUCGGUGUCGCAGCUAACGCGGUAAGCACACCGCCUGGGGAGUACGGCCGCAAGGUUA
rnacentral:rRNA from 1 species